CCGCGUACCCGACGCAAAACCCUCGCACAACCAACAAAAACGUUCAGGAAACCGUUAAAAAAGACCAGAGAGCGUCGAAAAACGUUGCCCGCGUCGAAAGAUAAGUGCUUAGCGUCGAAACGCCGUGAAGAAGCUACAAACAGAGCCGGAAUACGAUCAUUCAGCAGCAGACAAAUGUUUAAGUGAUCCCUUACUCGUUACGAUUAAGCAGUGAAAUGGACUUCAAAUAGAUCGUUUCGAAUCUGUGCAAAUUGAAAUUAUAAAUAAGCAUUCGUGUAUUAUUACUGGAACUAACCUAAAACUUGUCCUCCACAAUGAAGCGAAUAUAUUGUCACCGGCGCGCCCCGCUAUGACUAACCUCAUCAGGGUCUUCCAAGCUGUCAGAAGAAUAUGACAAAGCGCGGUGCGAUGGCGAUGCGGUGAUGGCGGAUGGCGAGGCGGAAGCGGUGGCGGGCGAGGAGGCGGCCCGGAACGCGGGGAUCGAGCGCACCUACGUGCACGACGUGUACGACCUCGCCGGCGAGGAGGACGGCGC